rnacentral:rRNA from 1 species
AUUGAACGCUGGCGGCAGGCCUAACACAUGCAAGUAGAACGAGUUGCGAACGGGUGAGUAACGCGUGGUAACCUGCCUCAUAGCGGGGGAUAACUAUUUGAAACGAUAGCUAAAACCGCAUACUUUGAGAUGGACCUGCGUGGUAUUAGCUAGUUGGUGAGGUAAAGGCUCACCAAGGCGACGAUACAUAGCCGACCGGAGAGGGGGAUCGGCCACACUGGGACUGAGACACGGCCCAGACUCCUACGGGAGGCAGCAGUGGGGAAUAUUGCACAAUGGGCGCAAGCCGGAUGCAGCCAUGCCGCGUGUAUGAAGAAGGCCUUCGGGUUGUAAAGUACUUUCAGCGGGGAGGCGUUACCCGCAGAAGAAGCACCGGCUAACUCCGUGCCAGCAGCCGCGGUAAUAC